rnacentral:rRNA from 1 species
GAUGAACGCUGGCGGCGUGCUUAACACAUGCAAGUCGAGCGAGUGAGUUCUUCGGAACAAUCUAGCGGCGGACGGGUGAGUAACACGUGGGCAACCUGCCUCAUAGAGGGGGAUAGCCUCCCGAAAGGGAGAUUAAUACCGCAUAAAAUUAUCGAGUGGCAUCACAUGAUAAUCAAAGGAGUAAUCCGCUAUGAGAUGGGCCCGCGGCGCAUUUGCUAGUUGGUGAGGUAACGGCUCACCAAGGCGACGAUGCGUAGCCGACCUGAGAGGGUGAUCGGCCACAUUGGGACUGAGACACGGCCCAGACUCCUACGGGAGGCAGCAGUGGGGAAUAUUGCACAAUGGGGGAAACCCUGAUGCAGCAACGCCGCGUGAGUGAUGAAGGUCUUCGGAUUGUAAAGCUCUGUCUUUGGGGACGAUAAUGACGGUACCCAAGGAGGAAGCCACGGCUAACUACGUGCCAGCCGCCGCCGUAA